ACGUUAUGAUGAUGAUGAUGAUGGUAAUGAUGAUAAUUAUCAUUGUUUAUUAUUAUCAUUAUCAUCAUCAACUACUACU
rnacentral:miRNA from 1 species